AUAACUCAGGAACUUAUAAACAAGCAUUUGAAGAAGGUGAGGCAGCUUACUCCAUUGUCAACCACCCUCCAUUUCUUUUAGACUUAUAGGAUGGGAUAUUUUUGAUAAGCCAGUGAUCUAUUGUUGACCAAUUUUGACAUUUUGUAGUUGGAAAUAGGGCUUGGUCUAUGAUUUUAAACUGCAAGCAAUAUAAACAAUUCUACAUACUCAAAAUUGAUAAGUGCAAACUAUCAAAAAUCAGUUUUUGCAUUAAUAAGAGUUGUACAUAUGUUGUAGUUGAUUGUGCAUCAAUAAAUUAGAGAAUUAUUGGAGUAGGAUUGGAAGAUGGAGGAUGUGUGAUAUUCUUUGAAAGAUGAACAAAAACAAGGCAGAAUGGUGGAAAAAAUCCAACUUGAACAUGGUGGAUUACUUACAAUAGGAUGUUUGAAUUUUUUACAUCCAUAAAUUGUAAAAAAUUAGAUAAAGUUUGAUAGCAUAAUUAGGUGCCACACAUCAUAGUUUUACAAUAGUUGGAUUCUUGGUUCUAUAACCUACGAGCAAUCAAAAUUAGAUUGGUUUAUAUGUUGGAAAUGGAUUGAAGAGAAUCUUCAGCUAAAGCAUUUAUUUAAAUUCCAUUUAUGAGCCAAAUUAUUUGAAAAUACUUAGAAUCCUCCUAA
rnacentral:lncRNA from 1 species